rnacentral:tRNA from 1 species
GAGUAGCCCAGCCGGUAGAGCAUCUGACUUUCAGUCAGAGGGUCCUGGGUUCGAGUCCCCGCGAGCUCA